GUGAACGCUGGCGGUAGGCCUAACACAUGCAAGUCGAACGGCAGCACAGUAAGAGCUUGCUCUUACGGGUGGCGAGUGGCGGACGGGUGAGGAAUACAUCGGAAUCUACUUUUUCGUGGGGAUAACGUAGGGAAACUUACGCUAAUACCGCAUACGACCUACGGGUGAAAGCAGGGGAUCUUCGGACCUUGCGCGAUUGAAUGAGCCGAUGUCGGAUUAGCUAGUUGGCGGGGUAAAGGCCCACCAAGGCGACGAUCCGUAGCUGGUCUGAGAGGAUGAUCAGCCACACUGGAACUGAGACACGGUCCAGACUCCUACGGGAGGCAGCAGUGGGGAAUAUUGGACAAUGGGCGCAAGCCUGAUCCAGCCAUACCGCGUGGGUGAAGAAGGCCUUCGGGUUGUAAAGCCCUUUUGUUGGGAAAGAAAAGCAGCGGGUUAAUACCCCGCUGUUCUGACGGUACCCAAAGAAUAAGCACCGGCUAACUUCGUG
rnacentral:rRNA from 1 species